CUUGCACGCUUGAAGAAUUGUAGGACUGGCAGAAAUAUAGGGGAUCCACCACUGGCUGAAAUAUAGUACAGUAGGAUGCCUCCAUAUGUACUUUCUGAAGCUCUCUUGCUUUCGUCUUUUACAGUUAGGUUCAAGGUAUUCCAUUUGAUAUAGAUAUAUAGCGAGGGUCAAGGCAGUACAUAUGUAUAAAGGUUACUUGAACUUUCCCCGUAAUCCUGUAGGUGCAAAUUCAUAUGGACUUGAUCAGCUCACUUUCCUCUUUCCACUUUCACUUAUGAAACUUGAAUUUAUCAAGAAGAAGGGGGAAAAUGGUUGGAUGUUGGUUUUAACUAAAGUCGGGUUUUAAAUGGAAUUAACUGCUAGAAGUUUAAAGAAGUUACCUGAGACAUGGCCCUGUCUGUGCAUAUGUGUUUGACUUCUUUUGGCUGGACAUAAUAUGUGUAUUGCUUUCCAUCUUCCUUACCAGUUUGCGUGAAGUUCUGUUUUGAUGUAAUGUAGUAUUUUGUCGAGAUGUACGAACUUUUCGUUUGGGUUUUUGUUUUGUACUUUUUUCAAUUAUGUUCUGCAUAAUUAUCGAAUUAUUCGAAAGAGAUUGUAAAAGAAAAAUUAAAUAAAUCUGAUGUUGAAAAGAGGUUGGGCGUAGAGGCCAAA